GACGAACGCUGGCGGCGUGCUUAACACAUGCAAGUCGAGCGGUAAGGCCCUUUCGGGGGUACGACGAGCGGCGAACGGGUGGAGUAACACGUGGGUGGACCUCGCCCUCCAGCUCUGGGAGUAAGACCCGGGAAACCGUAGGGUCGUAAUACCGGAUAUGACUCCAUGACGCAUGUUGUGGGGUGGGAAAGCCUUGUGCGGCUGAGGAUGGGCCCGCGGCCUAUCAGCUUGUUGGUGGGGUGAUGGCCACCAAGGCGACGACGGGUAGCCGGCCUGAGAGGGCGACCGGCCACACUGGGGACUGAGAUACGGCCCAGACUCCUACGGGAGGCAGCAGUGGGGAAUCUUGCGCAAUGGGCGAAAGCCUGACGCAGCGACGCCGCGUGAGGGAUGACGGCC
rnacentral:rRNA from 1 species